AGAGUUUGAUCAUGGCUCAGAGCGAACGCUGGCGGCAGGCUUAACACAUGCAAGUCGAACGGGCGUAGCAAUACGUCAGUGGCAGACGGGUGAGUAACGCGUGGGGAACGUACCUUUUGGUUCGGAACAACCCAGGGAAACUUGGGCUAAUACCGGAUAAGCCCUUACGGGGAAAGAUUUAUCGCCGAAAGAUCGGCCCGCGUCUGAUUAGCUUGUUGGUGAGGUAACGGCUCACCAAGGCGACGAUCAGUAGCUGGUCUGAGAGGAUGAUCAGCCACAUUGGGACUGAGACACGGCCCAAACUCCUACGGGAGGCAGCAGUGGGGAAUAUUGGACAAUGGGCGCAAGCCUGAUCCAGCCAUGCCGCGUGAGUGAUGAAGGCCCUAGGGUUGUAAAGCUCUUUUGUGCGGGAAGAUAAUGACGGUACCGCAAGAAUAAGCCCCCGGCUAACUUCGUGCCAGCAGCCGCGGUAAUACGAAGGGGGGCUAGCGUUGCUCGGAAUCACUGGGCGUAAAGGGUGCGUAGGCGGGUCUUUAAGUCAGGGGUGAAAUCCUGGAGCUCAACUCCAGAACUGCCUUUGAUACUGAGGAUCUUGAGUUCGGGAGAGGUGAGUGGAACUGCGAGUGUAGAGGUGAAAUUCGUAGAUAUUCGCAAGAACACCAGUGGCGAAGGCGGCUCACUGGCCCGAUACUGACGCUGAGGCACGAAAGCGUGGGGAGCAAACAGGAUUAGAUACCCUAGUAGUCC
rnacentral:rRNA from 1 species